UCCAGAGCCGCUGACGUGAGGACACUUGGGGGGGCGGGGGGACCUGCUCUGGUCUUUGGGGGGCAGGGCCCGGAGGGUGGGCUUGGCAGCUGGGCGAUAGGUUUAAAAAGCCCUUUAGGAUACCUGGCAGCAGUUCCAAAGGGUGAACUUACCACGGCCGGGUGGGCAGGGCCACUGCAGCGCCAGGCAGCUACAGGUUCGUUUGCCUGUGUUUUUAUCACCCAAGUCAGGACACGCCUGGUGGCUCGGUGACCGCUGCAGAGGGCCUCUAACUUAAGUCUUUGCUUCCCUCCGGAGGACAGCCUGAUGCUGAUUCAGCCCAUCCGCUGCUCCACUCGAGGCCUCUCAGAAAUUAUAGGGCCAGUGGGGGGCUGGGGGGCGGGUCCCCACAAGCAAAUUACAAAUUGAGCCAAAGACAUCAGGGUUCACGGUGGGCUUAACUUCCUCGGGUCUCACAGUUUCUCUGGCGGGAGGGCCGAUCGCCUAGUGGGACUGUCUCCUCAUGUGUGAUUCGCGCUCCCGAGGAGUUAACGCCCAGACCUUCUCUUGCUUUUGAAAUAAAAAGAUUAAUGUAGCACAUUCACGGAAUGAAGCGAAUGGAGAUAUGGAUAUCUGAUUUCCAUUUCUCUUAAAAGACAAUCUUUAAACCAUUGCUUGGGAAGAAUUUAACAGGAAAAACUUUAAAAAAUUAAUUUGUAGUGGGGCUAUAAAGCAAACCACAUCUUAUAGAGUUUUCACACAUAUGGAAUAUAUAUUUUAUAUAUUUCAUUUAAAAAAUCCCACUAGUCAUUUCUCACAAAAAAUCAUUUAGCCUCCCCUCCCCCAAAUCAUCAUGAAGUUUGAGAAGCAUAAGGAUCAUGCAAAAGUUUGAGCUUCUUGUUUUGUUUCUUUGAAAAAAAUUAAUAAUUGAAAACUUGAGUGCAAAGGAUAAGAAAGUAUGAAAUGCUAAAGUUUUUUUAUGCAGUAAUCUUUAAUUAAGUAUAAAGACUUUUCUGAUCAUGUCACCCAUAGAUCAUUUUUAAAAUGCCAAAGUUUUGGUGGGUUUGGGUUUUUUGUUUGUUUUUUUUGCUUUUUAGGGCCGCACCCUCAGCAUAUGGAGGUCCCCAGGCUAGGGGUCGAAUUAGAGCUGUAGCCUCCUGUCUAGGCUACAGCCACAGCAACGCAGGAUGGGAGGUGAGUCUGGGACCUACACCACGGCUCACAGCAACGCCAGAUCCUUAACCCACUGCAUGAGGCCAGGGAUCAAACCCAGGUCCUCAUGGAUACCAGUCAGGUUCAUUACCACUGAGCCACAACAGGACCUCCAAAAUGCUAAAGAUUUUAAUACAUCUGAACUCCUCUUCUAUUCGCCUGUGAUGUGAUAUACCUGAUUUUUUGGGACUUUUCAGCAAACAAAUUAUACUGAUUAUAAAUAGAGUGAAUUCAGCAAAGACCAAGAAAGGCAAAACCCUCAGUCCCCUUUUCUUUGGAAAUCAGAUAUAAAUAAAAAUUUAAAUAUCAAAUCCCAAUUUAUUUUUAAGACGUAAACAACAUUCAACACAGGAGUGGUUUCUCAGAAUUAGACAAUUCUUUUAUUUAUUUUUAACUACGACAAUGCAAAGAUUGUUUAAUAAUUAGAACUCAAGGCCAAACGUCGGUAAACUUCUCUGGCUGUGUGGCUCAGCUUUGUGAAACAGUUGACAAGCGGUCCUUUGUACACUGCCUCAUUCCCAGGGUACCAGCUGUUUCCUUAGGUCGCAGGCCAUGGUGCAAGGGACAUGAGGGGCGACAGAAGCUUCCUACUGGAUGAGCGCAGAGAGCGGCAGCGAUCCUGGUCGCUGGAGGCAGCGCCUCCGUGAAUACAAAGCACCUGGCUGCGGCCCAGCCUCCGGCCCCACUUGCUGGCCUCAGAGCCGUCGGAGGAGGCCAUUUUCCUCCCUCCAGGGCCCAAGAAUCAAAGAGACAUGAGGCAGGUUAGCAGGAAAAACCCAAACCAAGUUUAGUAACAUGCAUACCUGGGAAAGACCCAGGAAAACCCAGCAACUCCUCAAAACGGCCCAAACCCUCGCCCCAAGUACCAUCAACAGCUAAGGACAAAGGAGGGCGUCCGGGGAGCGUGGCUUUGGACGAGGCGGGGGAGGAAGGCCGUUCUGACCGCGAUGGAGAAGCAAAGUUUUGGUAAAGCGACUGUUCGCGCUGCCGCGCAGAGGAGGGCCAGAGGGGGCCAGGUGCCUGCGAGUCCUCACCCGGCGGCCUGCUUGGCUGCAUCUCUUGUGAGCACGUCCCGAAACUGGCCCUCCAUCUAGAUUCUGAUUCAGGCAGCUACGGCGGAUGCCAGAGCUUCUUCCUGAGUCUUCUGGGCUUGUUUGUUUUCGGCUCAAAAUAAUCCUGUACCAAAGAGACAUUUUGGGGAGGCAAGCUUCACUGCACAGCCCUGUUUUCAUCAGACAGCCGGCAAUACAGGAGGACCCGGGAUGUCGGAGCUGGAGAAGGCCGUGGUGGCCCUGAUUGACGUCUUCCAUCAGUAUUCUGGGAGGGAGGGGGACAAGCACAAGCUGAAGAAAUCCGAACUCAAGGAGCUCAUCAACAGCGAGCUUUCCCACUUCCUGGAGGAAAUCAAAGAGCAGGAGGUCGUGGACAAAGUCAUGGAGACACUGGACAGCGAUGAAGAUGGCGAGUGUGACUUCCAGGAAUUCAUGGCUUUUGUCGCCAUGGUUACCACUGCCUGCCACGAGUUCUUUGAACACGAGUGAACUGGAGAAAACCGACACGCAGUUCCUGCAGCAGAGACGUGCGCGUCGUGCAGGGCAGUGGAGGCAGGGCUUUGGCAGGACAGUAGGCGCUGAGCUUUCCGGCUGUGUUGUAGCUAAUUAGGAAGCUUGAUUUGCUUUGUGAAUGGAAAAUUUAAACCUCUUUCCAGGGGCAGUUUUUAGUGGCCCCCGUCAUUGCUCCUGCAAUAGUAAGCAUACAGUUAGCUGACUGGUCCCAGGACUGCUGGUAAUCUUCAUUUAGGAAAGUCAGUUCUCGGUCACGAAGCGUGUGCUCUCCUAGCUGUGUAGACCCUUAGCCCAGAAAAAACAAACUGACCAGGAGCAUUGGGGUUUUCUUAAGCUUCCACUACAUUUAAAAAUACGAAGCCUUGUCCACUAUCCUUCGCAAAGGCUGCCCUUCGUUAAAUCUGUUCCUCACUGGGGCAAAUGAGACCUAUCAUGGGAGGGUGGCCUGACCAUCUGUGCCACCCACCCAAAGAGCGCGGCCACAUCUAGAUCCCUUCCCUGCAGUGUGCUGUGAUUGUCGCGCAUGUGAUGCUGCCAGUUCUGGGUGGAACAUCUGCCUCAGAAAGCAAGUGCUGACAUUAUCACUGUGAUUGGAACUGAGAAUGGAAAUUCUACCCUCGGUGGGGUUCUCCUCAGAGGAACACUCGCUGCCAGAUCUGGGGGGGCCACGUGGCUCAGGUGGCACGAGCGGGAGCAGGGGAGCUCAGGUGGGUCUCACGCUGCCUUGGAGACAGCUGUGCCCACCUCCUGCCCAGUCUGUAGAAGGAGGGCUUCCGGAAGAUGUGUCUGGUCCGCUGGAGAAGGUCGUUCCUGACCUGUGGAAUGUGAAGCCAGGGAGCCUAUUUAUGGCCUUUAUGCUUCUGUGUCCACAAAUUCAAAUACAUCAAGUUUCAAAUCAAAUAGUCAAGUUGCAAAUACUAGAAAUCACUUCCAAGAAAAUUCAAAUUACGCUUUCCACCCUUUUUCUGAUUUGCUGUUUUUAAGGACAGACUUGGGAGAUUCACGAACCAAUUGAUCGCUUGUAUUUGCAUUAAAUAAAAAGCAUUGUAACAAGUCU
rnacentral:lncRNA from 1 species